AGGGCAGAGACUUCUACACAUCCAGAAUGAAUGUUAAUACUAGAUAUAAAAGCAUGGGCCCAAGGCUGAGGUGGACCAAGCUUUUCCCACCUGAAAGAGAAGUAGCAACAAAUAGGACACCAUUUGGGUAGUUGUUUGGAUGUCUUCCCUCAGCCUACAGUCACCUGCCUCCCUAAUUUCUCCUCAUUAAGAGGAAAUAAAGUGAAAAAUAAUUUAUUGCCCAGUAAACCAUACAAUUUGAUCAACAUUUUCAACAUUUGCCAUUGACUUCCCUCGAAUCCUGUUAUAAUCCUCCUGCAAAACCUUUAUUCUUUGUUUUCUAGCCCUUGAGUACUUUAGAAAAUAAGUGUGAAAUUAUAUUCAAAAUAUUGAGUGGACUUUUCAAAAAUGUAAAAUAUUACUUCAAAAUAUAUUUUUGUGCUAUCCUCUCAUUAUUAUGUGCUUUUUCUUUGUGAUAUUAUUAGGCCUUUAGUUUUCUAUUUGGUUUUGAAAGUCAUGUGAUUUUUAUAACAAGAAUAGAAUUAAUGGUUCCAUGAUGAAUAGUGGAUGUUUUGUUCUGAAGAAAUCAUAUUUUGGGCAAAAUGCCCAUAAGAGACUUAUGUUUUUGCCAAUAGUUUGGUUCAGAGCUUCUGGGAUCUUUUAUUUUUUUUCUUAAGAAGCAAUGAGAAAGUUUGAUGCUUUUCCAUUUUAUUUUAAAUUUGUUUUAGGGG
rnacentral:lncRNA from 10 species